GUUUGUUGGCUGUGCUGUGAAGAAGGAGUCAGUGCUGUGAGGAGAUGACCAUGAGAAAUCACCAAGAAGGUGUGGGAAAGGUGUGGAUAGAAACAAACCAGCAGCCAGAGCAGGCCUGUGAAUUUGCUGAAGCUGUAAUCUGAGAUCUAUGCAUGAUGUGCCAAAUCAGCUUGUGGACUCUGAGACCAAAUUGUGACUGGUUGGGGUUUACCAAGAUGGAAAAUGGAGAGAAAUGUCUGCUGGUUUGAACAGAGCAUUGAUGUUCAAGGUGUGAUUUUACAUCUAAGGAAAACACUCUUAGCUCAAAAAUGUUCUAAGAACUAAAUGUACUUAGUUCAAAAAUGUACACCCCAUGCAGUAGGGACAAACUGUUUUCAUCACCUGCCUUUAUCAAAGCAGCUUGAGUUGGUUCCACACUGCUGUGAAAUCAGCAGCAUCUUCUGCUUUUAUAAAACAGAACAACUUUGUUUCAUGCUAAAAUAGAACCUGGUGUUUCUACUCGGAAGAAAUAUGAUGUGCUUUUCACUUUUUAUGAGACAUUUUGGAAAGAAGGCCCACCUUUGAUUUUAUCUAAAUUUUUCACUUUGUUUUUGUUUUGUUUGCCAAGCAAGAUCAAAACCCCACACAGGGGGAAUCUAUUUUCAGUAAAAGUCCACUGCUCAUUUCCAUUCUUCCAUCACAGUGCCCAGGUGAAAAUGAAAAUAACACUUAAAGUAAGUGUACUUGAAGGCAAGUAGGCAAUAUUAUCACAGGAUCAUGGAAUGUGAAGGGGUUGGGAGGGACCUUAAGGACCAUCUAGUCCCAGCCAUAGUGCCAGGGACAGGGACAUCUGCUAGACCAGGCUGCUCAAGGAUCUUCCAAAGUGUCCCUGGACCCUGCCAGGGAUGGGGAAUCCAUGACUUCACUGGGCAACCUGUUCCAGCGUCUCACCACACUCACAGUAAUGAAUUUCUUCCUAAUAUCUGACCUAAAUUUCCCCUCUUUCAAUUUUUAUCCAUUAUUCCUUGUCCUAUAACUACAGUUUUGGUGAAGAGCAUAAUAAAAAAUACUUUUUAAUUGUUA